rnacentral:lncRNA from 1 species
ACAGAUGGCUGGGGCCAGGUACUGGCAGAGGCUAGGCUUGAGAUGCAGUGACCCUGUCGUUCAUUCCCUGGGAUUGCAGGGAGAGGGGGCACAAAAGACUCUGCCCUCCCUCAGCAUCCUCCAAGUAUGUUCUUUUGUUUUCUGAUCAGUUAUGAGGAGUCCAACCCUAAAGAUCCAGCAGCCGAGACUGAAUCCAAAGAGGAGUCAACAGAGGCGUCGGCAUCGAAGAGGCUAGAGAAGAAGGAGAAAUGAGGCAGCGCUGCCUGACCCUUGAGGGCCAGAUCGGACAGGCAGGGGAUGACCUGUGGGCGACACAGAAGAGAAGACACCUGCAGGAGGCGACGGUGGCCCCAGGAUGGGGAGCAGGCCUCUGCUGCCUGUUCCCUCUGCCCUUUCUCUGGCUUCCUCUGCUCCUCCUCAUCCCUGCAGGCAAAGGAAACCCUCUGCUGCUUCCUUCCCCAGGAGCCAGGUGGGCACUGAAUGUGGUUUUUAGAUUUUUGUAUUGUGGACUGUCUUUGCCUCAUAUUAAAAACUCAUCCCAUGGCCGCUAGGCCACCGUGCUCCAAGGGAGCUCUCAGCAGCUCUGCCUAGUGUUUCGUGCUGAACUCAUCGGGGCUUUGCGAGUACCUUCGUGGGUGCCAGGCCAGAAGUGGGUUCCCAUGAGCCUCCUUUCCCAGCCACUCCUGGGGGACAGUGAAGGUGGUGGGCGAGUGCUUGCUGCGCCCCGCUGGCCUUGGUAUGAGAUGAAGAGAGUGUCACGGGGCACCCCGCUUCAGCAAAGGGACUUGUAACUAUGGACAGACGGCUCCCUGGGCUUGCUGUCCAUCUGGCUGGAAAUCAAAGGUCCAUCUUUUCCAUCCCCAGGUCUCCCAAAAUACAGCUCAGGUCUUCAGAAAGCCUGCCCUGGGGAGGGAGCAGAUUCCAGAGAACAGAAGAGGCCAUCCAAGGUCAGGCAAGAGUUAGAGAUCCCAAAGCCAAAGUCUCCCUCCCUCCUGACCUUCAAGCGAGUCCCUAAAGGGCAAGGAGAGGGCAGCUCAUCCCUCGUCCACCUGCCCAGGUGGAAAAACUGAGACUGUGGAAUGGCCAUGACCUGUGAGCUUUCCCUGGCUAGGGUUCAGGGUUAAUGACUAAAAUGAACAGAUUGGAAAUGGUCAGAGAGCAAAGGCUGUCCAGAGCCUGGGGAAUAAGAGUGGAGGGAGGUGAGUGUCCCCAGUUUCAGAUGUAGACCAGGUGUGUCGAUGCAAGCUUCGGAUCUGUACUUCGGAUGCUAAGCUGCGCGUGCUUUAGCCUCGCUCUACAGAGGAGGGAAUGGGGCCGCUCACCCCCAGACAGUGACUGCAGCUCAACAUACUAAGCACUGUGCUGUCCUCUUAUAGGACCAAGAAGUCACUGUGGCUGCUCUGCUGGGCCACCGAGUCAGCCACCCAACUUCUCUGGGUCUAAAAGUCUGGAGAGGAAAGCCUGAAAGGCUCUCUAGGCAGGGGGUCUCUUUAGGGCCUUCUUGGAUCUCUGCAGGCUUGUACUGCCUUCAGGGGGAGGCCAUGUGGUCCUGGAACAAAGCCCCUCUGAGGGUGGCAGAUGGGGCAGGCAGCCCAGGCACACAGUGUGGUUGGCUCAACAGCCCACAGCCCACAAAGGCCUCAUUGAGUCACUGCCGACCCCCAGCAGAGGCUGAGGUGGCAGUGGCGCCGGGCGCCUGCCACCUAAUGACCGUCCUGGCUGGGCCAGAUGUUCCACAGACCUUGCAGCGCCGAUCAGGGCCUGCCUGGCCAAGCAGCCACAGAGGCCACUCCAGUUCCAAUUAACCAGCUUCAGCUGAGCAAACCACGGGCAGCAGCGGGGCCCAGCCUGGGCGGUGGGCCCGGCCCGGCCCGGCCGGCCGGCAGAGCCUCUGAGUCUAGACUCCAGAUGUGAACCGCCACCGCCUGAGCCCCAUGGAAAAAUGGCACCAGGCCGGGCGCGCAUCAGGCCUGCAUACUGGGAGGCGGGAUGGGUGGCUGGGCAGGGCCUCAGAUGGGACUGGUGCCAGGCUCACCCUGGAGUGGGGGUGGAUUCUUCGGAAGCUGCUUUCAAACAGAUUUCCCCUGGUUUGUGGUGUCCUCUCUGUGCCUUGGUUUUUCCAGUAGGAGGAGGCUGUUAGGGCUUAAGACCAUCCCUGCAAGAAACCCCAUACUCUAUACAUGCUUACCGGGUUAGCAUGUGGCCAGCAUUGUAGAGUGUUCUAGAAGUUCUUGACUAUCCCUGUGUGGAAUAUGCCUGCCAUCCCAGCACUUGUAGAGGCAGCAAGCUGAGAUAAGCCUUGUCUACAUAGCAAGUUUCAGGUCAGCCAGCGCUCCAAGAUAAGAAUUAGCUUAAAAAAUUAAAAAAAAAAAAAGCCAGAUUGAUCCAUACUGGUUUGUGACUAAUCUUGAACCCGGGAGACUUAAGACAGGAUGAUCAAUUCAAAGUCCCCCUUGGCUACAAAGAGUUCAAAGCCAGAGCCUGCCUCUAGCCAAGUGGAGAGAUUAAUUGUAACAAUCCUAUAUGGCACCUACCAUCAUCUUCACAGAUAAGGAAUGGCAAGCAGGUCUGCACUGACCUGCCGGUGUUUGACCUUAGUGCCUGGCUUAUCUAAACUCAUGUUCACCACUGUGCUGAAUUCCUGUUUCUUGUCUUUGGGGACAGCAUAGGGAUUAUGGGGACAGGGAGAGGAUGACAAUGGAUGGCUUCCAGGAUGAGAUGGCAGUGUCCUGACAUCUGAUCCCUUUCUUCAGCUAAAAGAGGUGAGAGCAUCCUCUCACCCAGUUGCCCUUUGGAAAGUCUUUCUGUUUCCAUGCAGUGUCAGACACCAGCUAAGUUGAUAAGGACCUAACAGGGAGCACAAAUGGUGGCUCUCCGGAGCUGACAUCCUGCAAGAUGGCAUUCCUCUGGGGAGACUGACGGAAAUGACUGGGUGGAUGUGCCAAGAGAUGAUGCCACAGGAGAUGGGACUCCUGCCCCGGUCCUGGUGGGCAAAGCAAGGGUCUGUGCCAUCCAGCUGCCCUUGCACAAAACGACAAACUCAGUGCUCCCGCCACCACCCCAGGAAAAAAAAAGCCAGGCUGGCAGGGGUCUCUGCGGCAGCCUGCGCCUCCUUCCUGUUCUCCAACUAUGGACUCCCCGCGUGACUGCCGGCCACGGGAGGAGCGGCAUCCUGCGGGGUGCGCCAGGAAGGGCCUUGCAAGCGGGAAGGAAAGCGCCACCUCUCUCGCCCCCGCCAAGGCCACACCUGGGCUCCGCAGGCGGUAGCGCCGGGCCAGCGCCUGGCUCCAGCGAGUCUGGGCCGCCCUCCCUACGCACUGCGGGGGCCGCCAGCUGGGCUGGUCGCUCGCGCAGCUCCGCGGCCGGAAGCUGUUCACUGGGGGGCGUGGUCCGUGUUGGUCCCACCCAGGAGGGCAGGGUCACUGUAGCCCAAGGACAAGCUUUGGAAUUUCGGCUGGCUUUACAGUCUCCAUUUGUGUUUUUCUUUCCUCCCAGUCCCAGGGGACCGAACCGUGCUAAGUGAGCGCUAUAUCACUGAGCUGUAUCCCCGAAACCCUUCACUUCGAUGUUCUUACCUAGAAAAUGAGGGAAUUGUACCCCACCCCCAACACCUGGCCCAGUGCAAAAUCAUGCCGGCACUGUGUGUGUUAAAUGAAUGCAUGCGAAGGUCUAAAACCUCCCUGAGGCCUGGCGUUGUCUUGGGCAAAAAGCUCCCCGCAGAUGAGGAAUCCUUUGUUUCAUCCCUGAGCUGCGUUUUCCUCAGUCAGUGGUGGCUGAGAAGAAACAGUCCUCGGAAAACAUGGACACCUAGAAUAUCCUCCGUAAAAGAUAUGGAAGAGUCUCCAAGAUGGGGCGGGGGGGGGGGGGGGGGAAUGUGGUAGCAUACUCCUGCAAUCCUAAAACCCGAGAGUAAGGCAGGAGGAUCGAGAGUAAGGCAGGAGGAUCGUCUAGAGCCAGCUCCUGAUGCAGAUUUCAAGGCUAGUUUGGGCUACAUAAGAUCCUGUUGUCUCAAAACUGAUAUAUUUGGAGGUAAAAAUGCUC